UGACCUCUGAACCAGGUGAGAAGCCA
rnacentral:piRNA from 1 species